rnacentral:rRNA from 1 species
GGAGAGGCCGGUCAAUUCCUGCAUAACUUGAAGCUGUCAGAGCGGACCCGAAUGCCCGGUGUACCGGUCAAAUGCGCAGAGAUCGGGAGGUACACCAGUGCCGGAGCCGGUUCCCUGGGGCACACCUGACGCUGAGAGACGAAAGCUAGGGGANCGAACAGGAUUAGAGACCCUGGUAGUCCUAGCCCUUAACGAUGAAUGCUAGGUGUGGGAUCGAAUGGUUCCGUGCCGGAGCGAACGCGAUAAGCAUUCCGCCUGGGGAGUACGGCCGCAAGGUUAAAACUCAAACGAAUUGACGGGGCCCCGCACAAGCAGCGGAGCGUGUGGUUUAAUUCGAUGCUACACGAAGAACCUUACCUGGGUUUGACAUGUAGGUGGUAGUGAAUCGAAAGGUGAACGACCCUUCGGGGAGCCUACACAGGUGCUGCAUGGCUGUCGUCAGCUCGUGCCGUGAGGUGUCGGGUUAAGUCCCGUAACGAGCGCAACCCUUGCUCCUAGUUACAAGUGUCUAGGGGGACUGCCGGCGGAAAGCCGGAGGAAGGUGGGGAUGACGUCAAGUCAGCAUGGCCCUUAUAUCCAGGGCUACACACACGCUACAAUGGUCGGUACAAAGGGCAGCGAAACCGCGAGGCGGAGCGAAUCCGAGAAAAGCCGAUCGUAGUUCGGAUAGCAGGCUGCAACCCGCCUGCUUGAAGCUGGAGUUGCUAGUAACCGCGCGUCAGCCAUAGCGCGGUGAAUACGUUCCCGGGGCUUGUACACACCGCCCGUCACGUCAUGGGAGUCGGUAGCGCCUGAAGCCGCGUAGUCUAACUGGAAACAGGAGACGCUGUCGAGG